CCCGCACAAGCGGUGGAGCAUGUGGUUUAAUUCGAUGCAACGCGAAGAACCUUACCUACCCUUGACAUCCAGAGAAUCUGUUAGAGAUAAUUGAGUGCCUUCGGGAACUCUGAGACAGGUGCUGCAUGGCUGUCGUCAGCUCGUGUUGUGAAAUGUUGGGUUGAGUCCCGUAACGAGCGCAACCCUUAUCCUUAGUUGCCAGCACGUAAUGGUGGGAACUCUAGGGAGACUGCCGGUGAUAAACCGGAGGAAGGUGGGGACGACGUCAAGUCAUCAUGGCCCUUAUGGGUAGGGCUACACACGUGCUACAAUGGCCAGUACAGAGGGCUGCAAACUUGCGAGAGUAAGCAAAUCCCAGAAAGCUGGUCUUAGUCCGGAUUGGAGUCUGCAACUCGACUCCAUGGAGUUGGAAUCGCUAGUAAUCGCGAAUCAGAACGUCGCGGUGAAUACGUUCCCGGGCCUUGUACACACCGCCCGUCACACCAUGGGAGUGGGUUGCAAAAGAAGUGGGUAGACUAACCUUCGGGAGGUCGCUCACCACUUUGUGGUUCAUGACUGGGGUGAAGUCGUAACAAGGUA
rnacentral:rRNA from 1 species